GUGAUCACUUUGGCAGCACAUACACUAAUAUUGGAAUGAUACAGAGAAGAUCAGAAUGGCCCUGCACAAGGAUGACCCACAAACCCAUGAAGUGUUCCAUACAUUU
ensembl:snRNA U6 U6 spliceosomal RNA